CAUGUAGUUGGUCUCGGGUGCUGCACAUUUUGACCACCAGAGAGCAGUGUUUCAAUGUGAUUGCUGUUUCCCAAGACGGGACAGGAAAUGCAUCUUGUUGUCUUCCUGUGUUGCUAGGCUACGUGCUGAACGUGGAUGUGAACUGUUAAGUGUUUCAUCUGCGGGAGACAGAUUUGGCAGAAAAUUGGGCGGCCAUUUCCUGCACGUGAUGAUAAGAUGUCUGAUCAUCGAUGCGCUCCAGUAUUAAGAGUGAACUGAGACGUUACUGUGGAAUUCACUGUUGCAGAUGAAAGAUGGCAUACUCACAGCAGAGAGUCUGCAACAGAACCACGAUGGUGAGCAGAAAGCAGAGCAGAGAUAAGUAAUGAGCCAACUGUCUGUGGUCACUGACUGAAGCUAAAAGACAAAAGCCCGAACAAAAGUAUGAGCAAAUUUCUCAGCAUCUGCUCAGCAGUGCAGAAACAUAUAUUUUUAGCCUACAAUCAAGCUAUCUUCAUAGUUUUAACUUGAAUUUUGAGAAAUAUUGAAGUGAAAUGGAGAUCAAGAUACACAUAGAACAAGAUACAGACUAUAAUAAGAACAUGUGUCAUUGUCUCUAAGAAAUAUCAACAUAGACCUUCUCACUUUAACUUUGAAAAGAAAAUCAUUUUAAAAUGUGUACUAAAACUGAAACUAUAAUCAUGGCCGCACACUAAUGUUUUCCUUCCAUAUAAUUUACUAAAAAAACAACCCACAGCUUUCAUGAUUACUUAAAAACAACCCUUAACUUCAAAGCAGGAAAAGCUCAGAAAUUAAAUUAUUAGAAAAAAUAACUAAAUGAACAAUGAGUUCACAGUAAGGUUUUAAAAACCACUUGACACAGUUAAUACAUUUUGAUGCAAAAUAACUGACUUUCCAAAUACAGGAACAAUCCACUUGAAGCACUUGAUCUGUUCUGAAUGUGAAAAGUCAUUAGUGUCUUGGAAAAAAAAACUAUUAAAGGGCUAUCAUGCAGUCACACCAUUUAGAGAAAAAAAAAAAAAACUGAAUUACUUUUUUCUUGGGUGGCUUUAGUUGCUUCUCCUUCCAGCAAAGUUAAUCCAUUGCUUACUCCCAUCUUGAUCUCAGCAUAUGCACGUUAGAUUUCACUCUUUUGCUCCAUUAAAA